UACGUAGUGUGCAAGCGUUGUCCGGAAUUAUUGGGCGUAAAGAGUUCGUAGGCGGUUUGUCGCGUCCGUUGUGAAAGCUUGGGGCUCAACCCCAGGUCUGCAGUGGAUACGGGCAGGCUAGAGUCAGGUAGGGGAGAACGGAAUUCCUGGUGUAGCGGUGAAAUGCGCAGAUAUCAGGAGGAAUACCGAUGGCGAAGGCAGGUCUCUGGGCUGACACUGACGCUCAUGCACGAAAGCGUGGGGAGCAAACAGG
rnacentral:rRNA from 1 species